UGUCCCUAUAACUCUGGACAUAAAGAUAACAAGAAGUAUCUCUGCAGAGGUGAAUGUCCCUAUGGGGGGAAUAAAGACAUUCCUGUUGAAUCUGGAUCUCCUGCUGAAGACCCCAGAUUUUCUCUGUAUGAUAACAAAACAGCCCGAGUCUUCACCGUCACCAUCAGUGAUCUGAGACCUGAGGAUGGAAACACUUACUGGUGUGCGAUAGAGCGGACAUUGCCUUUGUCUGAUAUUUACACAGAGUUUCUCCUGCAGGUUAAAACAGUUGAUCCCACCAUCAGUUCUGUCUCACACACCACACACUUCACUCCAACCCAUGGGGACACGACACAUUCAGUAACAGAUAAGUUACUAACUUAACUACCCACAAAACCCCCAUCACUCCCCCAUCUCAGGGAGGAACCAUAAGGGGUCGGUGCAUUGUGGAUUGGGUGGCAGUCGAAGGGGCCUCGGCAACCCAAUCCCCGGAUACGUAAUCUGGCUCUUGUCCAACCGGGAGGAGGCCCAGGGGAAGACCUAGGACACGCUGGAGGGACUAUGUCUCUCGGCUGCCCUGGGAACGCCUGGGUAUUCCCCCAGAAGAGCUGGAGGAAGU